GUGGAAGAAGAUGACACUAACGAAGAUUUUUUUUGAACCAGUAACAAAACAUGAAGGUUCUUCUUUGAAGAAGAAAUCGAAGAGGAAUGAAGGUGAUAAGAGUUUUAUACCAAAAGUUAAGAAAGAGAAAAAGAAUGUUAAUGAAAUGCUUAAGAUUUUAUUUCAGUUUCUUUUCUAUUUUGCCUAAUUUAUAAAUUUUGCCUAUGUUCUUUUUAGUGUUUUUACAUGUGAUUUUGUUUUUAGGAUUUCAUAUAUUUUUUGUAUUUUGUUGUUAUAUUCGCAAUCUCUUGAGAUGAAUUCAUCAAUAGCUUCGUAAUUUACAUAAUUUAUUUCUUUAUCAAACUGCCCAUUGAACUGUAUGAGAAAUGAAAUUUCUUUUGUUUCUUGAAAUUUUUAAAAAUUUAAUUAUGGUCAGCCAACUAUGAGAAAACUGUAAAUAAACUAAAACACAAUAGGGCAUUGAAAAUACAGGCACACCAUUAGCUAUUUUUACUACUACAAAGUUAGCUUUUAGUGACAUUCUAUAGUGACCCGCACAAAAGUGUAGGUCACUAAAUAUUUGAAUUUUUUUUAGUGACUCACAUUAUUAAGACAGUAAAAAUUUAAUAGUUGGGACCCAGAUUGUGGGUCACUAAAACUAUUCAAAGUGUUUUAAAUUAAUUUUUAUUUUUUUUUAAAAAAAAUAAUAAAAAAGCUAUAGUGUCACCUAAUGCGUGAGUGGGAAAAUUUUUCCACUCACGCAAAAUGCAUCACUAAAAAUAAUUAAAAAAAAAUGAAGAAAAAAUAAAAGGACAAGCGUGGUGUACGAGGAUAUUAAUUCAUUUACUUUUUAUCCUUAUUAAAUAUAUUAUAGGAUUAUUAUAUUAAAAAUAUAUUAGAUAACAAAACCCUAUAUUUUUAACUCAAAAGCAAAAAAAAAAACAACUUAUUUUUCACGUCCUCUCUCAGUUGCCUCCUUGUCUUUGUCUUUCUUUCUUUUUUAUUUUUUGUAGAAAGUCUUUCUUCAAUCGAUAGAGUUGCUGCCCAAAUGCAACAACAUACUCCGACCACCAUUUCCCAAAACAAGCCAUAAAUUCGAGUUCCCCACUCCAAAAAAUACCUAGACUCGCCUCUUUCUCUCCUUUUCUCUAGAUAAUCUCAGACUGAUUUCUCUAUUUCUUAUGGGAAUACGUCGGUGCUAAUAGAGACACACUUCGAUGAUGAAUUUGACCACUGAUUCAAGAUCUAUGCCCCUUUUAACCCCAGACCUACCUCCUUUAUUUUUCUCUGUCAUGUUUCCCUCUCUUGGUGGUGGUGGCAUUAGGUGAAGAAUGGUCGAUCGACGCUAGCAGUGGUGGUGAAGAGUUGGGAUGGUGGCGUUGGGUGAAGAACGGUCGAUCAUCAAUCUGCCUCUCUUCGAUCAAUGGCUGGAGAUUUGGUUCUUAGUGGUGGUGGUGGGUUCGGUUCGGUUGAGCUGUAUAUAAUUUUUUAUUUUUCUGUUGGGUUUCAAAAUAUCUAGAAGUUUAAAUGUUCAUAUUUUUUUUUCUUGAUUUUGUGUGUCAGGUGGUGAUGUAUGACAAUUUUUUUUGAGAUGAUGUAUAGUAUUUUUGUUUUGAGAUAAUGUAUAACAUUUUAUUUGUAAUAAAUAAUAGACAGUUCUUUAAUUUUUAAUUA